rnacentral:lncRNA from 1 species
AGUACUCUUGUCCAUCUGUUCUCUGUUGUGUGAUCCCAAUCCAGAUGAUCCUUUAGUGCCUGAGAUUGCUCGGAUCUACAAAACAGAUAGAGAAAAGUACAACAGAAUAGCUCGGGAAUGGACUCAGAAGUAUGCGAUGUCUAUCUGGAUGUAAGGGUGAAAAUUCACUUGAUGGAAAUACUUGUGUAUAUUUAAAGACCCAACUGCUCCUCUGGAGCUUGUACGUUCAAGAAUGAUUAAUCUGUGUAAUAAACUGAUUACUACAGUCA